UGCGUGUCUGGGGUUACCAAGGACGCUGGUUCAAUCCCCAUCUUGCUCCAAAGAUGUUUCUCAUUCAAGGAAAGUUUUCAAGAGAAAUCGCUAAGCCAGUAUAACCAUACAGUACUUGGAUGGGACCUGAGGACAAGGAGCUGGGAUAGGAAAACGAAGGAAAAGACCGGUCCCCAUUCCGGCCUGCUUUCCCCCUCUAGCCUCAAGUUCCGUGCAACCCCAGGCACACCAACGCUCAUACCAUCAAGUUAUUUUAUCCUUCUGUGGUUAAAGAAUCUCAACCCAUGUCGAAAUAAAAGACAAAAUAAAGAGCGUACAGUACGUUUAAGUGAAGCAGCGGACUAUAAAUAAAAACGGGCUGCCACAAGGGCAUCAAGUUUGGUGUUGUAGUCUGUGAGCGUAAACCCGCGUCAUGAGGCUUGGCCAACCUCCAGCCGGCCGGCCGCCUCCCACACCCCCCACGGGCCUUCUCCCUACAGGAGGUGGUAGGCCCUGCUUUCUUCAUACUCCAUCCCUCGUAAUUCUGGGACGAGCCUAAUUGUAAACCUCUGGAUCUUUUCUAGUUUCCCCAUGUGCUUUUUGAGACAUUUCAGGGAUGUAGUUUCCCUUCAAUGUGUGCCGUCCAUUUGGUCUCCUGUCACCUACUCCCAAUUAUAUCACAUUACACAUGCUUCUGUUGAAAUGCAGCAGCCAUUUCCAAGCACAACUCUGCAGCUUGUUUACGUCAUCUCGGUAAAUGUAUUUUAAAAUCCUCAUGUGUCUCGAUUCAUCUAUUUACGUUUGCAUCGUCUGCAAGCAACAUCGACAUGCUCACUUGUGCAUUUUGGUGAAACCUGACUUAAUUCUUACUUGUAAGAUAACACAAAAAUAUAUACUCACAAUAAAAUGCAGCAAGCAAAGUAGUGGAGUAAUUUAAAAAUAGGCUUAUCUAUUCAGGGUGAUUGGUGGGCUUAUUUGUUGCUUGUUACCUUGGUCCGGUCUGGCUUGCAGGAGGAUAAGAACCCAGGCAUGUCUGGAGUAGCAUUGAGGUGUUUUCUCUCCUUGGACUUUAGCUUUGUCAAGGCUGAGGUGCCAGUCUCGCACCAGUGAAUGGUCGAAAAAAGAAGAGUGAGGAGGAGGAGAAAGGGGAAGACUAGGAAGGAAGAUCUGGUAAAUGGAUAUCAAGAACCAUGUUCGCCAGCCCAGAGAUACCGUUAAUCAUCAUGUUCGCCAGCCCAGAGUUACCGUUAAUCAUCAUGUUCGCCAGCCCAGAGUUACGGUUAAUCAUCAUGUUCGCCAGCCCAGAGUUACCGUUAAUCAUGUUCGCCAGCCCAGAGUUACCGUUAAUCAUGUUCGCCAGCCCAGUUACCGUUAAUCAUCAUGUUCGCCAGCCCAGAGAUGCCGUUAAUCAUCAUGUUCGCCAGCCCAGAGUUACCGUUAAUCAUCAUGUUCGCCAGCCCAGAGUUACCGUUAAUCACGUUCGCCAGCCCAGAGUUACUUCAGCUCAUCAUGCUCGGCAGCCUACUCUUAGAUACAUAUGAUGACCAAACCACCCACCUGAAGAUGAAGAAACGACGACGUUUCAGUCCGUCUUGAACCAUUAUCAAGUCGUAUGUGAUACAUAUUGUUCGAUAGCCCAGCACUAUCGAUAUGUGAUACAAAUCGCUUGGAUACAUAUGUUCAAUAGUCCGGGACUACCAUAAGCUCCCAAAGUUGGGUUAACUAUGACAUUUAAAAUUUAAUAUUUGUAAUAAAUCGAAUUAUCAACUUAUAACUGUGGUCAUUUAAAUUCCUCACCACUCAACAUUUAAGCAAUGAUAAUCAUCAAUUUGUACCAAUUUACGUGAGAAAUGUGGUUAAUAUUUAAA